UACCAACCUUGAUGCAAGUUCUUGUUUCCUUGUGUAGGUCUUCAUAUUGUGAUGUGUCAUUUCUCAGUUCAGUGUUGCAAUUGGUAAAGCCAAUUAUUUCAUAUUCUUUGGGAAAAUGUUCUGCUAAUGAAAACUUAGUGAGUGAUGAUUCUUGUCUUAAUUUAGAAUCAUUAUGCUUUGAUGAACUUUUUGACCUCAUCAAAGAUG
rnacentral:misc_RNA from 1 species